GUGUGACUGCGUACCUUUUGUAUAAUGGGUCAGCGACUUAUAUUCUGUAGCAAGGUUAACCGAAUAGGGGAGCCGAAGGGAAACCGAGUCUUAACUGGGCGUUAAGUUGCAGGGUAUAGACCCGAAACCCGGUGAUCUAGCCAUGGGCAGGUUGAAGGUUGGGUAACACUAACUGGAGGACCGAACCGACUAAUGUUGAAAAAUUAGCGGAUGACUUGUGGCUGGGGGUGAAAGGCCAAUCAAACCGGGAGAUAGCUGGUUCUCCCCGAAAGCUAUUUAGGUAGCGCCUCGUGAAUUCAUCUCCGGGGGUAGAGCACUGUUUCGGCAAGGGGGUCAUCCCGACUUACCAACCCGAUGCAAACUGCGAAUACCGGAGAAUGUUAUCACGGGAGACACACGGCGGGUGCUAACGUCCGUCGUGAAGAGGGAAACAACCCAGACCGCCAGCUAAGGUCCCAAAGUCAUGGUUAAGUGGGAAACGAUGUGGGAAGGCCCAGACAGCCAGGAUGUUGGCUUAGAAGCAGCCAUCAUUUAAAGAAAGCGUAAUAGCUCACUGGUCGAGUCGGCCUGCGCGGAAGAUGUAACGGGGCUAAACCAUGCACCGAAGCUGCGGCAGCGACGCUGAUGCGUUGUUGGGUAGGGGAGCGUUCUGUAAGCCUGCGAAGGUGUGCUGUGAGGCAUGCUGGAGGUAUCAGAAGUGCGAAUGCUGACAUAAGUAACGAUAAAGCGGGUGAAAAGCCCGCUCGCCGGAAGACCAAGGGUUCCUGUCCAACGUUAAUCGGGGCAGGGUGAGUCGACCCCUAAGGCGAGGCCGAAAGGCGUAGUCGAUGGGAAACAGGUUAAUAUUCCUGUACUUGGUGUUACUGCGAAGGGGGGACGGAGAAGGCUAUGUUGGCCGGGCGACGGUUGUCCCGGUUUAAGCGUGUAGGCUGGUUUUCCAGGCAAAUCCGGAAAACUAAGGCUGAGGCGUGAUGACGAGGCACU
rnacentral:rRNA from 1 species